UUCACAUAGUGUUGUGCAAGUAACUGAUUAAACGGUUCAUUAAUAAAAAAAAUUUGGUCUAUAGAUAUCUGAAAUUACAAGUUUGGGAUUUAAAAUUGGUCAAUGAAAUUACAAGUUUGACAUUUAUUCUUCGUUUUGCUAUUGUUGAAUCGGCUAAAUAAUUGAUCUUAUAGCUAUCAGUUCAAGAACAUUAAUACAACUCUUUUUUACCUUAUUUUCAGUAUUUUUCAUUUAUACUUCUGCUUAAUUGUUUACCUUCAAUAUAUUUUUGAAGUGUUUUUUUUAUUUUUGAAAUAGUUUCCCAAGGCCAAAUCAAGUCGCCCUCGUCGAAUUUCUUAAUCUUGCGUUGUUUCAUUCUCAUCAGAUUCCAAGUAUCGAACGUGUUUUUUUGAUCGAUUGCUACAAUUUGUAUAGCGACAAAACUAUGUAAUUGGUCUGAACAAUGGAGCAUUAUGUGUAAUUGGGUCUCAAAUGUUUCAUUGGAUGCUUCAAGUAGUAAGCUUUGUUCUAUUGUGAUGAGCUGACUUUUCAUUGUUUUGGAACCAUCAGCAAGGAUAUGCUGCCAGGACAUUGAAGAACACAUGUGAGUGAACUUACUCCCUGCCGUUUUACUUGUCACCUAUGAUGCACGGACACGGACGCAGGAUACGACACGGACACGGCUAAUCUAAAAAAACGUAGGACACGGACACGGCGAUAUAUAUUUUAUAUAUUAAUAAAAUAAAGUAUUUUGUGAGAAUAAUUUAUAAAAAGUCUAAAACGAGAGGCAUAAUUCAUGUUUAUUUAAACUUUCAAUCAACCAAACAAAGACAAAAAUUAACCAAAAUAAACUUAGUACUUUCAAUUAAGAAAAAUAAUCUAAAACAAAAUGAUGAAAUUAUACAUAAAGUUUAACAUAUAUGUUAUCAAAAAAAAAAAAGAUUAACAUAUAUAAAAAACGUGGUGUGAACUUGUGGUGCUAUAGGUCUUGUGUAAAGGGAACCUAUUAUAAUAUAAAAUAUAUUAUAUACAAUCACCAUGUGAUAAAAGUUGUGAGGUGUUAUUAUUAUUGUAGUAUACUUCAGAAAAGUGAAAACUUGUGGUUAGCAAACAGAUAAGAUAACGAAAACAUUACCAGCUAGCACAGCAAACAAAGAGAAAAGUGAAACGAGUCGUGUGAGAAAAGUGACGACGACGACGAAAGCAAAUUGAUAGAAAACAAAGAAGAAAGCAAAUUGAUAGAAACCUGGAGUAGACGACGACGACGACGACAUGGAGAGACGACGGGAAGGAAGCAGACGGCGGCGCCGGAAAAGGUGCGGUGGAUGCACAGUGAGCAGCGAUAACAGGAUUAGAGAUGUGUGAGUUGGGUUUUAUAGUUUCCAAAUUCAUAUCUCAGCCUUGAAACCUAGUACUCUUCCUUUUUUUUUUUUUUUUUUUUUUAAUUUUUGUCAUGGGCCGUGUCCUACUCAACUGAGCGGUGUCGCGUCCGCGUCCGCCGUAAGUUUUUUUUUUGUUGGAUACGGCUAGAUCCGCGUCUGACGCGAAUCGUACGCGUGUCGUACGCGCGUCCGUGUCGGAACCGCAUCGGAGACGGCGACACGGCAGAUCUCGGCCGCGUCCGUGCAUCAGAGCUUGUCACAAGUUUCUGAAUACUUUUUUAAUUUCUUUUGUCAUGAGUGAACUUAAUAUUUUUGAUUGGACUCUAAAUCUACAGUUUGAUAAUUUGGUAAGUACUCAUGCAUUCUCUUUUACAGACUCAUUACUAUGACUUGAUGUUCAAUUUCCUUUCCAUCAUCUUUUUCUAAAUAACAAUUAUUCUAAGAGCCAAGCUCAUAUUAAUCCAAAAUUAAACAUGUACAGUUCAAAGUUUUAAAGAUUAGCAUAUAAAACUAUCUCCAAGAAUUAGAAAGGAACACAAAUGCUUCAAAUAAAUUGUGAUAAGAGCUUUGAAAGAAACUCCAAUGAGAUAUCAUCAAUGAGGAGCUGAUCAAUCUGUCUACUUCCAAUCAAUGAGUUUCCUCCUAGUUUGUUCUUAUCAUCCACUUUCAUCUUAUAGCAAUGAGAACAUGUCACUAUAUGUGCUGAAAAUAGCUUCAUUUAGAUAAUAUGAGAGUCACUUGAAUAAGGUGAAAAUAACUACAUCCAGGUAGACACAUACCAUCUCACAACCGAAAAAUGAUGAAUGGUGCAAUGGCUUGAUUAAACUGAAUCCAAUGCCAUAAACAAUACUACCAUAAACUACAGAGUGUACUUGUUUUGCAUAUCUUAAACAAACAAAGCUUUUGAGAUUGAUGAAAUGGUGGAUCAAGUGAGUAUUGAAUCAAUAUUAGGAGCUACAUCAUCAGCAACAUAUUCAGUGACUUCUUGAUUCAUAAUUUGAUUGGAGUCUAAAUCUACAUCCUUGAUUCAAUUUCUCUUCCAUCAUCUUGUUCUAAAUAACAAUUAUUCUAUGCAAUGAUGCCCAUAUUAGUCGAAAAUUGAAAGUUCAAAGUUUUAAAGAAUAGCAUAUACAAAUUUUAAGCACCAAGACAUAUAAAAUAGUUUGGUUAUGAUUGUCUUACAUCGAAUGAAUGUUGUUAAAAAACCAAGAACUAGUUGUAUACAUGUUGUCGAAGUAUAACAAUUCCGACCCCAAUAUUCACAUUGUGAUGUCCACUUAA